UACCAGCACCCCGAGUGGUCGGGACGUUUAUUGGGCCUAAAGCAUCCGUAGCCGGUUCUACAAGUCUUCCGUUAAAUCCAACUGCUUAACAGGUGGGCUGCGGAAGAUACUAUAGAGCUAGGAGGCGGGAGAGGCAAGCGGUACUCGAUGGGUAGGGGUAAAAUCCGUUGAUCCAUUGAAGACCACCAGUGGCGAAGGCGGCUCACUGGCUCGAUACUGACGCUGAGGCACGAAAGCGUGGGGAGCAAACAGG
rnacentral:rRNA from 1 species